UACGGAGGGUGCAAGCGUUGUCCGGAUUUAUUGGGUUUAAAGGGUGCGUAGGCGGCCCUGUAAGUCAGUGGUGAAAUUCUUGAGCUUAACUGAAGGAUUGCCAUUGAUACUGUAGGGCUUGAGUACAGAUGAGGUAGGCGGAAUUGAUGGUGUAGCGGUGAAAUGCAUAGAUACCAUCAAGAACACCGAUUGCGAAGGCAGCUUACUAAGCUGUACUGACGCUGAUGCACGAAAGCGUGGGGAUCGAACAGG
rnacentral:rRNA from 1 species